CGGCCCGCCUGUGGGGAGGGGAAAGGCGGGCUCACCGCCCGCGGGCCGCCGGUAACGGAAGGGCCGCGCGGCCCGGGCAUGGCGCGGAGCGCCGUGAAGGGGCUGCUGCUGCUGGAGGCGGCGGGGCUGCUCGGCGCCCUCCUGCUCUACCGCGCCAUGGACCGCAGCCAAGAUUUCAGAUAUACAAUGCAGAAGAGGUUUCCAUCAGUUCUAGAAGCGUAUUACAAAUCCAAUGAGUGGUCUGGAAUUCACGGCAUAAGGGAGAAUGACCAAAUGACAUGGUUAAGCAGCAAGAACUGAACCCUCUGUGCCUGAACUGUUUCUUCUUUUUGAUGAUGCUUUUCACAUCCCUAUUGUGAAGCCACUUGUCACGCUCUAUUUCCCAUUGGAUCUGUUUGACAUCUGUAAGAGGAAAGGUGAGAAAUAAGGAGCUGAUGGAUACCUCUGAACAUGUUGUGGAAUCACGUAAAAGUUAAAACUUGGCUGCUGUAUUUAUAAACGUUAAUAAAGUACAAGAUGCCAGUUUUUAUUGA